GUGUCCUGCGCAACGCGAAGGCUGUGAACCCCGCCAGGUCCGGAAGGAAGCAACGGUAAGCAGUUUUUCGCGUGUGCCGCAGGGGUGCAUGA
rnacentral:SRP_RNA from 1 species